rnacentral:rRNA from 1 species
AGUGAACGCUGGCGGUAGGCCUAACACAUGCAAGUCGAACGGCAGCACAGUAAGAGCUUGCUCUUACGGGUGUCGAGUGGCGGACGGGUGAGGAAUACAUCGGAAUCUACUUUUUCGUGGGGGAUAACGUAGGGAAACUUACGCUAAUACCGCAUACGACCUACGGGUGAAAGCAGGGGAUCUUCGUACCUUGCGCGAUUGGAUGAGCCGAUGUCGGAUUAGCUAGUUGGCGGGGUAAAGGCCCACCAAGGCGACGAUCCGUAGCUGGUCUGAGAGGAUGAUCAGCCACACUGGAACUGAGACACGGUCCAGACUCCUACGGGAGGCAGCAGUGGGGAAUAUUGGACAAUGGGCGCAAGCCUGAUCCAGCCAUACCGCGUGGGUGAAGAAGGCCUUAGGGUUGUAAAGCCCUUUUGUUGGGAAAGAAAAGCAGCAGGUUAAUACCCCGCUGUUCUGACGGUACCCAAAGAAUAAGCACCGGCUAACUUCGUG